CCUACGGGAGGCUGCAGUGAGGAAUAUUGGUCAAUGGACGAGAGUCUGAACCAGCCAAGUAGCGUGAAGGAUGACUGCCCUAUGGGUUGUAAACUUCUUUUAUAUGGGAAUAAAAUGUUCCACGUGUGGGAUUUUGUAUGUACCAUAUGAAUAAGGAUCGGCUAACUCCGUGCCAGCAGCCGCGGUAAUACGGAGGAUCCGAGCGUUAUCCGGAUUUAUUGGGUUUAAAGGGAGCGUAGGUGGAUUGUUAAGUCAGUUGUGAAAGUUUGCGGCUCAACCGUAAAAUUGCAGUUGAAACUGGCAGUAUUGAGUACAGGAGAGGUGGGAGGAAUUCGUGGGGUAGCGGUGAAAUGCUGAGAUAUCACGAAGAAUUCCGAUUGCGAAGGCAGUUCACUGGACUGCAACUGACACUGAGGCUCGAAAGUGUGGGUAUCAAACAGGAUGAGAGACCCGGGUAGUG
rnacentral:rRNA from 1 species